GGCGGAAAUAUUUCCGUGUUUCCUGGUUAAGUUUCAUUCAUGCGAAUCUGAGUUAUAGAACAGCCUACCACAGGAAAGCAUGCAGUUCUUAUCGGUUUCAGAGAUUUCGUUACGACUAGUUCAGGAUCUUGUCCUUGAUAAUCUUCUGAAGGUCCUCCACCCCACUCCACGAGUCCGGCUCUACUGUGGUGUACAGGCAAGGGAGGCUUUCCAGCUCCUUCUCCUUCAAGCGGCACAUCUUAAGGAAGUCCUCCUCUGAGUCCACUUUCAGCGGCAGCCUUCUACAGGAAAAUUGAAGUAAAACUUCAUAAAGAUA